AUUCGGCUGACGAAUCCCAAACCGGAUGAAACACGCGUUUUGGAU
rfam:Schistosoma haematobium scaffold279_12, whole genome shotgun sequence.